rnacentral:lncRNA from 10 species
CUCCAGGCUGGAGUGCAGUGGCACGAUCUCAGCUUACUGCAACCUCCGCCUUCUGGGUUCAAACGAUUCUCCUGCCUCAGCCUCCCGAGUUCAUGCUUCUGCAAUCAUUCACUUCCCUGCCAAGAAGAAUGAUUUUCCAACCACUACUAACCAGCAAAUGCAGCAUGUUUCUGUGGCCAUAGGUCAAGCUGGAAAACAUUUUUCCAUAAAACCAUGUGCAAUUUCAUGCCACAGGUGAAAGAAUAGCCCAAAUCCACAAGGUACUGUUAUGUCCUACAAAUUCUUUCACUCAGUCAUUAUUGAUGUGAUUUACAAUUAAUACGUGAUUGUUUUACGUUACAUUAUAUCGUAACACUGUAUUACAUUAUACCAUGCAAAGCCCAAUUAAUGUAUUCUUUUUUAUAUGCAUUGUCAGCAGAAUCUACUAAAGCCUUGAGUGUAUAUGAUGUGUGUUGUGGGCUGAAUUUUGUCCCUCCAAAAUUUCUAUGUUGAAGCCCUAAUUUCUGGAACCUCCGAAUAUGACUGUAUUUAGAGAUAAGACCUUUAAAGAGGCAAUUCAAUUAAAAAUAAGACCAUUAGGUUGAACCCUAAUCUAUUCUGACUGGUGUCCUUAUAUUAAGAGGGAAUUUGGAUGUACAAACAGAACCAAGGAUGUGCAGAACCAGAAGAAAGAUCAUGUGAGAACACCGCCCUAAGUAUCUGCAAGCCAUGGAGAGAGACCUCAAAAGAAACUGAACUCUGACAACACCUCUAUCUCGCUCUUCUAGCCUUUAGAACUAUGAGAACAUAAAUCUCGGUUUUUUAAGCCAUCCAGUUUGUAAUACUUUGUUAUGGCUGACACAGAAAACUAAUAAAAGAUACAAAAAUACAGUAAAUAAUGCACGUUACUUGAUAAAAAUCAAGUAAGAAACUUUUAGUACAUAAAUUAGGUAAAUAAAAUGUAAAAUGUUUAUCUUCAGCUUCUAUACAAACAUGAAAUUUACUUUGAACUUCUCUGAAUUCUCAUAUUUCUUCUUUAAUUUAUUCCAGGUUCAGAUAAUGAGUGUAUUAUAAACAGAGUCUCAAACUUAAUUUGAUAACUGAAAGUGACUAUGUUGGUAAUUUAAUUUCAAAGUUAUAUCUUCAGCAUUUAUGUACCACAGAAACAUUUCACAAUAACAUUCUAAAAUUAAUGAAUUUUCCCAGAAAAGUGAUUCCAAUCAUUUGAAACUUUUUACUUAUGUACACGAUAAAUUUAAUGCAAACAUAAGCCAUUCCACAAAUACAUCUAAAUAUUAUAUCACAGGAUAUAGCAUGUAAUAUAUUUCUAUAGAUCAGUAGGAAAUUCAUGAAAAUUCAAACCAAGUAUAAGUUUUGUAAAUCACACUGUACUUUUCCAUUGCUUGUGUUAGUAUUUAACUUUUCAAGUAUUUUAAUGCUGUUUUCCCCAGCCAGUCUAUAAAUUCUUCAAGAAUUACUUAUUGUACCACCUACAGCAAAAUCAGAAACAUGAACAAUAUAAGUAAUCUAUAGUCUGUAUGGAUAGAAUGAAUCAAUAAUUCUAACAACCUAUGAAAGUGAGUUCCUAGA